GGCCAUAGUAGGGUCUGCAGAGCCACUGCACAGAGCCACAUCGUGAGCCACUACAUUUAUGGCAUUUUGCAGAUUGGAUGUGAUGGACAGGCAGUAGCAUUCACUUAGUGGUUGGCCUUGAGUCAUGUACUCAAAGGACAAAGCUCCUCCAGAGCUCCAGGUGCAGUUGUGAUUAGCCACAGAUACAAGAGUAAAGGGGUCCUGUGGGCAGAAGCAGUGGCUGGUUGAGGCGUUAGGACAGUGAGUAACACAGGAGGGCCCUGUCUGCAGUGGAGGGAGCAGUGGACUGAGGUGGGGGUGGACUACAAGGAAAAAAGAAGCAGUGGCUGGCUUGUGGCUGUCUCCAGAAGUGUGAGUGUUUGAAGUCAGUGGUAUGUUGGGUUAAUUAUUAAAUAAGCAGGUUUCUAGAGCCAUUCAAACGAAGAGCUUUUAACUUAGUAUUCACACCUACCUCUCCUUUCACCCCAUCCCCUGCUGUUAACCAGGAUGUUUUUGCAAAGAAGCAACUCAGGCUGAGUUUGGUGCCAGUGAAAAUUUGAGGGGGCUUUGUGCUUGUUCCUGUAGGAAUCGGCAGGAGAUUCUACAACUAGAUCUUGCCUGACAUCACUGUGGAAGCGGAAUUGAGAUGUGAAUCUUACUCUGUGUGUACCUGUUUUAAUGCAAACUUCCCUUCUUCCAUCCAUAGUCUUAAAUUCCUUUUGUUCAUAUGCCAUCGAGAAUGAGGUUACCAACCUGUUUGCUCUAGAAUUUUCCAAAUUUAGGCCAUUAUUUAUCAUAAUUGCUAUUAUUUAUUCAAUUACAUAGCCUAAUUUUUUGAAUCCUAUUUUAUUUUUCUUAUUUUGGUCUAAUUUUGAAAUUUAAUAAGCACUUCCUGUUGAACUUCCCUUUAGAACAAUGUUUUUUUAGAGUACUUGAUUAAAUUAUUAGGUGAAAAUAAUUAAAAUAUUUUUUCUUUUAAUGUUGCUGAGACUGACAGAGGAAGUGAAUGCUAUAAUUGUCAAACUUUAAAAACAUUUUUACAUCAUCAUUAGUUUACCUUUGUGUUUAGGCAUAAUGAAUACUGCCAAUUUGCAUUUUAAGGAAAACAUGAACGUGAAUAAAAUUAGAUUUUUUUCACUGAAUGUCAUUGCAUCAAACUAUUCAAUAAUUAAAAAUACUUAGAGACUCUGUUUUUAGACUAGAGCAGAAAUCUGGGGUGUAUUUUUUUUCCCUUUUCUGUAGUAUCAAUCAUUUUUUGCCUUUAGGGCCCCAAACUGAUGACUUACAUGUUAAUACACAGAAUGGCCUAUGACUUAGAUUUGUAUUAUCUCUCAUUUUAUACAGCCAUUGACUGGAAAUAUCCAAAGAUAUAAAUUGUUAUAACAUUUCUAACUUGAAAGUAAAGAAUAGAUCUACUUUUGUAAAGGUCACAGAAUGUAGAAUUUUGAAGUAUAUGUACCAAGAUACGGAGUAUAUUCCAUUUAAAUGAUUUGUGUCAAAGAUAAAUGUGUGUCUCUUUUGCCCUAAAAAGUACCUUACACAUUCAGUCAUUUUUUUCUAUCACAAAAGUUCAGUUAAAAAAUGAUAGGAAUUUGGUCAUGAUGAUUGUUGUACAGCUAUAAAUGUAAUAAAAUUCAUUGAUUUUUCUCAAUAAACUCAUCGAUGAUGUCACUAUCCCUCAUGAUACCAAGUUCUCUCUUUUCAGUUCAGAAUAGCUUGAAUUUUGGUGCACAUUUUUUGCUGUUUUAAGACCAAGUUAAAGUAGCCUUAUAUCAAAGGUAGCCUUAUGUGGAGAGCCUUAUUGCAAAGAUUUUAGAGUAUUUAAUUUCUAGUAUUUUUUCUAGAAUUCAGAAUCUUGGGUAUUUCUGGACAUAUGUGAACUUUGAGACGAGUUCUCUAGUUAUGGGUAAAAAUACGUUAAGCACACUGAGAAUGUCUUUACACUUUCAGACAUUUGUAUUCGUGUUAAGUAAAGUUAUACCUCAGUUUUUUUGUUGAUUUUUGUACUGUCAUAUGAUAAAGUUCACAAGUGGAUAAAUUGCUAUGUAUGUGUGUGAAGAAGAUACUUGCCUUAAAAUAGAGCACUUCUGUUUUGCAAACAGCCUAUGGUCAAAUCAUCUUUCCAGUGACUCAUAUAUCUGUGUGCCUGGUGACUGUAGGCCUGAUAAAGUCCAUGGAGGUGAAAAAGAAGAUGAAUGUCUUUUCAGUGUUAAUAUCUGAACCUGGAUUAAAAAGUAUCUUGAACAUGUAAAGAUUUUAUGGAAAAAAUUAUAUGUGUGUUAUGUGGCAUUUACUGCUAAAGGUAGCAAAUGAUUGAACAGAUAAAAUGUCUGUUGUUUUCACCAUUAUUUUCAUUGAUCCUAUUCUCAAUGGGAGCAGUGAUUUUAAAAUAUGUGUAUAGCCAGUUCUGCUAUAUGGUCUAUACUUCUACUAUGUAUACGUAACUACUGCUUAUUGUCAUCAUUAAUGGCCAUCGUGUAUGUCACAGAGAGAUCAGAUGUACCAUCUACCAAUAGGCACGGUAAUUUGGAUAGUGAAGAUUAUAUCAUAGUUUGGGAUUAAAGGUAAAAGUUUUAUUGUUUAGUAGCUCUUUUAGGAAUGAUGGUUUAAAUGGACAUUGCUUUUAUCUUCUAAUAAAAACAUUCUUAAAAU
rnacentral:lncRNA from 1 species